AGUCGACGGUAAAGAACUAGCUUGCUAGUUGCUGACGAGUGGCGGACGGGUGAGUAAUACUUAGGGAUCUGCCUCUGUGUGGGGGAUAACUAUUGGAAACGAUAGCUAAUACCGCAUAACGUCUACGGACCAAAGAGGGCUUCGGCUCUCGCGCAGAGAGGAACCUAAGCGAGAUUAGCUUGUUGGUGAGGUAAAGGCUCACCAAGGCGACGAUCUCUAGCUGUUCUGAGAGGAAGAUCAGCCACACUGGAACUGAGACACGGUCCAGACUCCUACGGGAGGCAGCAGUGGGGAAUAUUGCACAAUGGGGGCAACCCUGAUGCAGCCAUGCCGCGUGUGUGAAGAAGGCCUUCGGGUUGUAAAGCACUUUCAGUUGUGAGGAAAGGUUAGUAGUUAAUACCUGCUAGCUGUGACGUUAACAACAGAAGAAGCACCGGCUAACUCCGUGCCAGCAGCCGCGGUAAUACGGAGGGUGCGAGCGUUAAUCGGAAUUACUGGGCGUAAAGCGCACGCAGGCGGUCUGUUAAGCUAGAUGUGAAAGCCCCGCGCUCAACGUGGGAGGGUCAUUUAGAACUGGCAGACUAGAGUCUUGGAGAGGGGAGUGGAAUUCCAGGUGUAGCGGUGAAAUGCGUAGAGAUCUGGAGGAACAUCAAUGGCGAAGGCAACUCCCUGGCCAAAGACUGACGCUCAUGUGCGAAAGUGUGGGCAGCCAACAGGAUUAGAUACCCCGGUAGUCCCCACCGUAAACGCUGUCUACUAGCUGUUUGGGGAUUUAAUCCCGGAGUAGCGAAGCUAACGCGAUAAGUAGA
rnacentral:rRNA from 1 species